UACGUAGGGGGCGAGCGUUAUCCGGAUUCACUGGGUGUAAAGGGAGCGUAGACGGCCAAGCAAGCCAGGGGUGAAAGCCCGGGGCCCAACCCCGGGACUGCCCUUGGAACUGCAUGGCUGGAGUGCGGGAGGGGCAGGCGGAAUUCCUGGUGUAGCGGUGAAAUGCGUAGAUAUCAGGAGGAACACCGGCGGCGAAGGCGGCCUGCUGGAUCGCGACUGACGUUGAGGCUCGAAGGCGUGGGGAGCGAACAGG
rnacentral:rRNA from 1 species